UACGUAGGGCGCAAGCGUUGUCCGGAAUUAUUGGGCGUAAAGAGCUCGUAGGCGGCCAGUUGCGUCUGCUGUGAAAUCCCGGGGCUCAACCCCGGGCGUGCAGUGGAUACGGGCUGGCUAGAGGCAGGCAGGGGAGAACGGAAUUCCCGGUGUAGCGGUGAAAUGCGCAGAUAUCGGGAGGAACACCCGUGGCGAAGGCGGCACUCUGGGACGGUACUGACGCUGAGACGCGAAAGCGUGGGGAGCGAACAGG
rnacentral:rRNA from 1 species